UGAUAGGCAUAGUACAGUCAGGCUCAUAACCUGAAGGUCGCAGGUUCAAAUCCUGCCCCCGCAACCA
rnacentral:tRNA from 1 species